GACGAACGCUGGCGGCGUGCUUAACACAUGCAAGUCGAACGCUGAAGCUCAGCUUUUGUUGGGUGGAUGAGUGGCGAACGGGUGAGUAACACGUGAGUAACCUGCCCCCUUCUUUGGGAUAACGCCCGGAAACGGGUGCUAAUACUGGAUAUUCACUGGUCUUCGCAUGGGGGUUGGUGGAAAGGGUUUUUCUGGUGGGGGAUGGGCUCGCGGCCUAUCAGCUUGUUGGUGGGGUGAUGGCCUACCAAGGCUUUGACGGGUAGCCGGCCUGAGAGGGUGACCGGUCACAUUGGGACUGAGAUACGGCCCAGACUCCUACGGGAGGCAGCAGUGGGGAAUAUUGCACAAUGGGCGCAAGCCUGAUGCAGCGACGCCGCGUGAGGGAUGGAGGCCUUCGGGUUGUGAACCUCUUUCGCUCAUGGUCAAGCCGCAACAAUGGUUGUGGUGAGGGUAGUGGGUAAAGAAGCGCCGGCUAACUACGUGCCAGCAGCCGCGGUAAUACGUAGGGCGCGAGCGUUGUCCGGAAUUAUUGGGCGUAAAGGGCUUGUAGGCGGCUGGUCGCGUCUGCCGUGAAAUCCUCUGGCUUAACUGGGGGCGUGCGGUGGGUACGGGCUGACUUGAGUGCGGUAGGGGAGACUGGAACUCCUGGUGUAGCGGUGGAAUGCGCAGAUAUCAGGAAGAACACCGGUGGCGAAGGCGGGUCUCUGGGCCGUUACUGACGCUGAGGAGCGAAAGCGUGGGGAGCGAGCAGG
rnacentral:rRNA from 1 species